rnacentral:rRNA from 1 species
AUUGAACGCUGGCGGCAGGCCUAACACAUGCAAGUCGAACGGUAACAGGAAGAAGCUUGCUUCUUUGCUGACGAGUGGCGGGCGGGUGAGUAAUGUCUGGGAAACUGCCUGAUGGAGGGGGAUAACUACUGGAAACGGUAGCUAAUACCGCAUAACGUCGCAAGACCAAAGAGGGGGACCUUCGGGCCUCUUGCCAUCGGCUGUGCCCAGAUGGGAUUAGCUAGUAGGUGGGGUAACGGCUCACCUAGGCGACGAUCCCUAGCUGGUCUGAGAGGAUGACCAGCCACACUGGAACUGAGACACGGUCCAGACUCCUACGGGAGGCAGCAGUGGGGAAUAUUGCACAAUGGGCGAAAGCCUGAUGCAGCCAUACCGCGUGUAUGAAGAAGGCCUUCGGGUUGUAAAGUACUUUCAGCGGGGAGGAAGGGAGUAAAGUUAAUACCUUUGCUCAUUGACGUUACCCGCAGAAGAAGCACCGGCUAACUCCGUG